rnacentral:rRNA from 1 species
CCCUUAGAUGUUCUGGGCCGCACGCGUGCUACACUGAGUGGAUCAGCGGGUCAGGUUGCGCGAAAGUGUUUCCUAAUCUUGAAAUCCGCUCGUGAUGGGGAUUGACGGUUGCAAUUUUCCGUCAUGAACGAGGAAUACCUUGUAAGCGCGGGUCAUCAUCCCGCGCUGAAUACGUCCCUGCCCUUUGUACACACCGCCCGUCGCUACUACCGAUUGAAUGGCUUAGUGAGCCCGAGGGACUGUUGCACCUAGAGGGUUUUCUCUCCAGGAGCAGCUGGGAACUCGGUCAAACUUGAUCAUUUAGAGGAAGUAAAAGUCGUAACA